CCGUGGCCAUUGUGGCCCAAG
rnacentral:sRNA from 1 species